rnacentral:lncRNA from 1 species
CCUGAGUGCUAUUUAUUAAAUCUGUAACAUGUUUGUUUAAAAGUGCUAUAGCAAAUACUUGUAUGUAUAAUGUAUUUAAGUAAAAUUCAAAAACAAUAGUCAUUCUCUAUCAAGCAUUAAUGUGAAAUGUGAAUGCAUUUUAUCUAGCAAGGCUCUAUACUCACGCUUACUGUAGUUUGCAUGGCUUGAAUAUAGAUAUAUCUAAUUUAUAAAUGCUGUCAAAUUCACUCACUGCUCUUGAAGUAAAAUGGUAGUGUGUAGCAAGACUGAGCAAACUGUCCAAACAAUGCUAACUGUACAAGAGGUGUCAGGGUGUUGAGUUGGCAAAAUAUCUGCGAUGUUUAAAUCUGUAGGAAUUCAAUGAUAACAUCAGUUUCUUGGUAAUGACUGUAACUUGUCUAUAUUGCAGCUGCUAAUAUUGCAGAAGACUUACUACCUUCACUUUCCCGUGAUGACAUCAAAGAUCUGUUUCCUGGUCCUGAACAUUUGGUGAGGCGCCGGGCUAUAUGGCUUCCUGUGAAUAAAGAUGAAAAGGUGGAUGCUACUCCUGUUCCGAGCCCUGCCACUGCUCUUCCCGUCCAGCACCAUGCCACCUAAGAAGCUGGGCUUAAGCAGCGAGGCUCUUUUCCAUGUCCUUACGACUUCAGAGGAUCCUGAUGGUUUCCUGCGCCAGCGACCACUGUCUUGCCCAGUCGUGCUUGUUUCUGAGGACAACUGCAUGAUCGCCAUUGGAAACAUGCCAGUGACCACCUUCAACAUUGAGAGGUUUGAUGAGGGACUGCUCUACCUCAUGGCAUAUUACUAUGCCCUGCACCUCACUUACCCAAAGUGUAUUUCCACACUUCUGUCAGUACUGCAAACACAAAUUCUCCAAGAUUCCAUUCAUGAGCAAGAUUUGACCCCUUCCUACAAAAAAGCCAUUGGCGAGUGGAAGUCCUUCAUUGAGUGAGUGAGUGAGUCUCUUUGUUUCUUUUGUGGUUGUUUCUUGACACCGCCUCACUCUCUAUCUCAUGUAAGACUUUCCAAGAAAGUCAAAGUUCUGUUUAAUGUAAGGUUUAUCACUGUUAGCCACAUUUGUUGGUGAAACUGAAAACUUUUCCUGUGGGAUAAUGUGCAAUAACAGCAGCUGCAAAGUUGUAAUAAUUGUUAUAGUAUGCUGCAAUAAUAGCAGAUAUAACAUUAUGUUUUUUGAUGGAUGUUUAAUUAAGCAAUUGUAUUGCAAAGUGAAUAAAAAAUAUUAAAAAUGAGAAUGUUUUGGUGUCUUGAUUUAAGACAAAGUCACUUAUUUUUUU